UACAGAGGUCCCGAGCGUUGUUCGGAUUCAUUGGGCGUAAAGGGUGCGUAGGCGGCGGGGCAAGUCUGAUGUGAAAUCCCGGGGCUCAACCCCGGAACUGCAUUGGAUACUGCCUUGCUAGAGUACUGGAGAGGGAACUGGAAUUUACGGUGUAGCAGUGAAAUGCGCAGAGAUCGUAAGGAAGGCCAGUGGCGAAGGCGAGUUCCUGGACAGUUACUGACGCUGAGGCACGAAGGCCAGGGGAGCAAACGGG
rnacentral:rRNA from 1 species